UCACAGAUUUUGCACAUUCCUGUUAAAACUACUGCAAGCGUAUUUUAUAUAUUUUUCUAUCUCAUUUUCUCAUCUUUUUUUCCUCUCUUUCUUUCUUCAUUUAUUUAUCUAGAGUGUGAACACACAAGUGCUAUUGUAUUUAUCUGCAGGUCUGAACACUUUCUUUGGCCUAAAGAAAAAUAAGUGAGACAAUUCAUUUCCAGGACUAUACAGAUGCAGUUAUUUGGACCCAACCCUGGAACAGAAUAUUUUAAAAAUCUUUUGGAAAGCUUAAAAAAGAGGGAAUGAGAUUAGGUAAGCUGGUGGCAACGAAAAGAACCUCUGAAAUGGCCGCAAGGGAUGGGUGCAGGGAACGGCUGCUCUUUCGGAGUAUGAGAUGAGGUCUUCAAAGCCUCCAGCCUUAGGGAAACAGACAGAGACCGAGGUCCACCUAAAGGAAAGACUGUAAGAGUUUCCCCUCAGAGCAGCUCUCACGAGGAAGCUAAGCCUCCUCAGCACUGUGGCUACCGCAUGAGGAGGUGUGAAGAUAAAGCGCUUCAACUACAGACAGUGCAGGAGAUGUAAGGAUGCCAACUUCUGCGUAAUGUUUCUAGUCAAGCAUCUCUCCUGAACGCACCUGCACAUUCAGCUAAGCUACUCAGCAUCUUUUCCUAGAUAGAAUUGUAUAACUCACACUUAGCAUGUUCCAAACUCGACUUUCUUGCUCAAAAAUAAAAGACCCAACCCAAACCACAUGCAUACUCUUCUCCUACUUCAACUGCUGGCCUCUCGGUCCUUCUGCUUGUCCCAUCGGAGACUUCUCAUGCUCGGCAUCUAAUCCAUCUGGACUCUUCCUGGCUUUCCCUUCACUGAAUCCAU
rnacentral:lncRNA from 1 species